UACGUAGGUGGCAAGCGUUGUCCGGAUUUACUGGGCGUAAAGAGCGCGCAGGCGGUCAGAUAAGUCGACUGUGAAAGCCCCCGGCUCAACUGGGGAGGGUCAUUCGAUACUGCUCGACUCGAAGGCAGGAGAGGGAAGCGGAAUUCCCGGUGUAGUGGUGAAAUGCGUAGAUAUCGGGAGGAACACCAGUGGCGAAGGCGGCUUCCUGGCCUGUUCUUGACGCUGAGGCGCGAAAGCUAGGGGAGCAAACGGG
rnacentral:rRNA from 1 species